CACAUCUAAGGAAGGCAGCAGGCGCGAAAAUUACCCAAUACUAAUACAGUGAGGUAGUAACAAUAAAUAACACAGCCCAGCAUUUCAUGUUGGGCUUUUGGAAUGAGAACAAUUUAAAUCCAUUAUCGAGGAUCAAUUGGAGGGCAAGUCUGGUGCCAGCAGCCGCGGUAAUUCCAGCUCCAAUAGCGUAUAUUAAAGUUGCUGCAGUUAAAAAGCUCGUAGUUGGAUUUCUAGCGAGGCACGAGAAUAUCCACCUAUGGUGAAUACUUCUCUCGCCUUGCUCUUCUUUAGUUGAUGUCUCUGGCAUUAAGUUGUCGGAGUCCUGAGACUAAUCGUUUACUGUGAGAAAAUUAGAGUGUUCAAAGCAGGCUUAUGCCGUUGAAUAUAUUAGCAUGGAAUAAUAAGAUAGGACUUCGGUACUAUUUUGUUGGUUUGCGUACUGAUGUAAUGAUAAAUAGGGACUGGCGUGGGUAUUCGUAUUUUAAUGUCAGAGGUGAAAUUCUUAGAUUAUUGAAAGACGGACGACUGCGAAAGCAUCUACCAAGUAUGUUUUCAUUAAUCAAGAACGAAAG
rnacentral:rRNA from 1 species